GGGGGGCGGGAGGAGGAGGCAGUACCUGGGGUGUGAGCAGGCCUGAGGGGCCGGGAUCCUUGCAAAAACCUCCGGAUCGGCGACUCUGGAGCGAGAAUGCGAAGUCGGCCCAGUGAGAUUUCCAAAUCGCCUCAGAAUCUGCCCCCUCAGCUGGACAGUGAGCAGCCUGGGCAGGUCCCGGAUCCUGAGCUGGUCCUGGGUGGUGUGCCUCAGGUGCCACGGUUCAGGCUGAUUAUGCAUGAUACCCCUGAAGACAGGUGAGUGGACAGUAUGUCUGGGGAGCUUCCUCUGGCUGCUGGUGGAAGGGGAGACAGAGAGAUUUGAACCUCGCACCUGAAGAUGGAGGGGGGCACAUGCAAGGACCAAAGAGUAGCAACAAGGAGCUGAGAAGGCCCCCUGGCUGACAGGUAACAGGGACCCAGUCCUAUAACCAAAAGGAACUGAAUCUUGCCAACAACAGGAAUGAGCUUGGAAGAGGACUCCAAGUGCCAGGUGAGGUCACAACAGGUAGAAACUUUGAUUUUAGCCUUGUAAAGUGCUGAGCAGAGAACCCAGCCCCACCACCCUGGACUUCUGCCCUCAGACCUGUGAGAGAAUAAAGCCUCAGUUCUAAGGCACUGAGUGGUUGUAUGUUACAAGCGUGCUGAUAUCUGGAUGCAUUCACUGAACUGAAAACAAAGGUGGAUUGCUGGUCAGGACAGACUGGCAGAGAAAAGGGGUCCAGGAGGACUUGGAGUGGCCGAUGUCCAAAGCAGAGGAAGUAGGUGCUGGACAAAUGUUGGCCACUGGGGCUGGAACUGCAGGGAGACCUGGGUCCCAGAUUUGGGUGAAGAUCUGCAGAGGGGCCUUUAUCUCCAGACACUGUGCCUAUACCAGAAUCACUGAUUCCAUGAGGUGUGAUGGGAUGGAGAAAGCCGGUGACAUUGUCACUGCCCAAGCCCAGCUAUACCCCCUGGGGCUGGGGUCUGCCAGUAGCUUGGGCCUCUCUCAAAUGUGUGCCCACCAGUGGAGCAGUGAGGAAUGAACAGGACUCACCUGUGAGUGCUCUGGCUUGUGAACUUUAAAAAAAAAAUUAUUAAAAUUUUUUUAUCUUUA